UGCCCUGCUCUGAACUUGUCCCUGUCCCUUCCCCCCUAUGAGAUAGAGGAGUGGGGGUCUUGCCCUGAGCAAGUUUUGCAGCUCCCCAUGCUGCCUUUUGAGACUUCACAGAGCAUGCGUGCAAUGGAACUGUCUUCACUUCUGCAUGUGAGAUCCUUCUGGCAUCUGUGAAAUAGGACACUGAUGACUGACUUGGACUCGAAAGGUUGUAGGUGAGGCUAUUGGUGCCCUUCAAAUGACUGUUUGGAGAGCUCUGGACAGCUGUGAUGGUCAGAAGUUACACCUCUGUGCCUGAGGGACUUUUCAGAAAUGAUGCCUCCCUUCCUCCUGCCCUGAAGACUGUCAAAGUAUUGGCAAGAUAGAGAGAGUGGCCUCAACAAAUAAGUGAUGGAUGCUGGAAGCUAUGAGAAGAAAAUACUUAGGAGAUGACUUGUCCCUCUAUGAAGAAGCUGCCUUGGCAUGAAUACAUGACAUUAAAGUGAUUGGCGUUGACUUUGAACCCUUUCUGGAUUCUUGAGAUAAGUGUGUGUCUCACCCUCCAUCAAAGAAACUUCCUCUUUGCAGCAGAUUGAAACCAUUAAAGAAAACUACAACUGGUCAAAAUACAGAGAACACUGAUUGUGGGGUACCCAGUCCCAGUUGAUUUGUCUACAACAUAACUAACUCCUGCACUGAAUGCUCAGGGAACAUGGCAGCAAAGGUGGCAGAAAGAUCUCUAGAGCCAGAGGACCAGGAAAUCUGCUGUGAGAUAGUGUCUCCUAGAAAUGACGGGGAAGCUUCACCUCAGCAAUAUGGCUGGCUACACAAGCACUGAACAAGGACACCAAUGGACAUGCUAACAUGGAAGGGGCACAUCUCAGAGGGCCCUACUGUUAAACAAAGAGCUACAGGCAACUAAGGUGUGCUGAGAGCCAGAGAAAUAUGCUUCCCCAAAGAUGAACUACUUAAUUGGUUAUACAGUACCAGUGGUCAGUCCUGAAACCAUAUACAUACAAAUAUCACUAAAUGGACUGAGCAGUGUAGCAGGCUUUCUUUGGGCCACCAUGCAGCUUCCAAAUAAAGACACAGGGACUUAAUAUGUUCCACCUUAUCUUAUGCUUAUCCCCCUAGCUCUUAUAACUUAAAUUAACCUGUUUCUCUUUAUCUACAUUUUGCCUUUUUAAACCUUUCUUUCAUAUGACUGACUUUUCCUGUUUCUUUUAUGUCUGUCUGUCUGUCUGUCUGGCCCUGGGAGUCCCUUAUUCUCUUUCUUUUCUCUCCUGAGCCUAGAUUCCUCCUCUUACUUAUUCUUUCUGCCUGCCAGACCCACCUAUCCCUCUACUGCCUACCUAUUGGCCGUUCAGCUUUUUAUUCAACCAAUCAGAUGCUUUAGGCAGGCAAGGUGAAACAGCAACAUAUCUUUAUUUAACUAAACAAAUGCAGCAUAAACAAAUGUAAUACAUGUUUACAUAGUUAAAGUAAUAUUCCACAACAGAGAAGGUUGUAUUUAUAUUUUUGUGCAAAUAUGUAAUAAUGACAAUGAAAGAAAAAGAGGCCUUGAAUUUGAGAGUGAGUAUUGGGAAGGACAUGGGACUGAUUGCAAGAGGGGGGAGGAAGGGAGCAAAAUGAUGCAGUCAUACUUUAAUUUAAAAAAA
ensembl:lncRNA